UGGAGACGAAGAAGGAUGGAACAGGCGGAUUAACAUCUCAAAAUGACGAGCGGUCUUUGCGGCAGCGGUAGCGUGGAUCAAAACACAAACUUUUCCUGGAUAUAAUUCGACGGAGGAGAGUUCCGGCUGCUCAUCUGAAAGACACUUGAAAAGCAUUAAUCUCAGUGAGGCCUUGUGAAGAAACCCUGCAGGUUUCUUUCAUGAACUUGCUGUGAUACGAGGCUGCGUUCGGAUGGAUCCGUCCCACACUGGAAGGGACAAUGACACACAACGGGCACGUCGCGCUUUGUCUGGGGGGUGAACCGGGGGUUGCCAAGACAACAUGGACGCCGCUCUCAGCUUCAGUUCACCCGACCCGGUUAGUGUUUCCCAUCCCAGAUGCAUUUGGGGCCCAAAGGUUUUUUUUGCGUGCAGCGGGGAUGACACCCACUUCAGUGCCUCUUUGGAGGUUUAAUGUCCCAAACUUUAUGGGAACCACCACAGCCUCCCUCCAUCAUGAACACUGAAAGGCUUAAAUGGCUGUAAAUGGGUGUUUUCCUCUCCCCGUAACUCUCUGUUUUCUGUUGCCAUGGGAAGUGACUGCUCGGCUCAAUAAUGUGCACAACAAUGUUUGGUUCUGGGACACGACUUCAAAGGGGCCAGUGGUAUGAAUCUUUGAUGGUAGCCUUUCCACUGGUAACAUGGCGCGUGAACUCUCGCUCCAUGACAAGCGGAUGAGGGAUGAGGUCCGGGAGAGAAAAACAGUCCAUUUGGCAUUAGCCACGGCUUCCAAAUGCUUCCACUUGACCAUUUAUGUCCAUAUGUAGUAUGUAGCUAGUGGGUUGGGGGGAAAAACUGUUUCCAAGAAUAGUUUUUUUUCCAAAUAAUACAACAGAAAUGUUGAUUCACAUUUUGUAAACAGUGAAAAAACAGAUCAAAGACUGUAUGAAACUUCAAAUGCCGUUCGUGCCGAUGUGAAUCACGAGGUGUGGUUGCAUGCGACGCUAAAGGAUUUGUUCCACAUUAGGUUUUACCUGCUUUUCCCCCCUUGUUGCACAUUCAUUUUAGAUGGAGGCGACUGUAUCUGAGGUCUGAAGGUCAUGGCAGCAUUUCAAGUGGCACAUUGGAGCAGGCAGAUCUGUUCAUUCCAAUGUAAACUCUGUGAUUUGAUUUGUGAUUCCCCCCAUUGCGAGCCAUCUUGGCAGUGUGCUGACCUUUUGACGGAAGCCAUCUUUCAUCUGUCCUGUCGCAACAUCCACUUUUGUUUGACCUUCUUCCCUGUGACCAAGUGAACCAGAUGCCAGGGAGGAGUAGAAAUGAAGAAAGACGCUCGGAGAGCCUUCGUGAUGGCUUUGGCCAGACCGACUACCUUACAGCGUGUUAGCUGUCAGCAUUCCAGCUACAGCAGUUUGACAACUAGUCCCUACAUCACCGAGCCCGGUUUGACGGCAGUGCUGACUGGAGACUGGAGCUUGGAGAGAAACUGAGGGCUGGCAGAUAAAGGUCUUGCAUCGAUUGUGUUUCAACUAAAUUCUCUUGUGGUCGGGCAACAGCGCUGCAACCACGCACAGUGGAAAUUGCAUAAAGAUCACAUCUGUGCAAGAGGUCUUCCUGGGAUGUGGUUGAAGUUGCGACAAGUAGUGACACACACACACACACACACACACACACACACACACUCUUUUUCUCUCUCUCUCAGGUGAGAGGUGGCCCAACAUGCAUCAUGGCAACUAAAGAUAAAACAAAAUGUACUUGUACUUCCCAAGAGAAAUUAACAAAUUGUGAUGUUGUUUUUUUGGUUGAAGUAAAAUAGAAUCUAGUGUUCCUGGUUAACAGGGAUGAAGAAAAAAAAGCCUGUGGAGUUUCUAAUUAGUUCAGUUCAUUUGGACGAGUUGCACCAACAAACGCUCUCCAGUGUCGCUUGGUGCCGAACAAGCAGCUUUCACAAGACCCACAUUCUGACGGAGACACUUUUGCCAAUGCAGACAUUGUGGAUUUUGGUGUGAAGUUUCUGGAACUGAACAUAUUUCUUCAGCAUGUUUAAUGUGGAACCAGCUGACAGACUGACCCCAACCUAGAAAACCAGCUGAGGAUCAUCAUCAUCAUCAUCAUCAUCAUCAUCAUCAUCAUCACUACCAUCUGACAUCGUCAAAGAGAAGCAGAGCCAGUAAUCGUAGUAUUGAGCCUCUUCUUCCUGGAAGCCUCCACCCUCCCAACCCCUCUCCACCUUGUUCUCUCUCGGAGGGACUUUGAGGAGGAAUGUCAUUCAGCCACGCACCCCCAAAUCUCUGCCGCAAACAUGUUCUCACUGAUUCUUUGAGAGAAUUAAUUGCUCCAAAUAAUCUCACCAUCUGGUCGCCGAGGUCCGCACCUAGGAGGCUGCUUGCAUAGCCGAGGCCGGGGCGCCAUUCAGACGCCCGGAGUGCUGCUGCGGUGCAGCGGGAGGGAGAAGGAGAGGGGGGCCGCCAGGCUUUGCCAGGAGGCUAAGAAGAGGAGGGAAUGACAAAGACCACCAUCUGCUCCUUGUCUUUCUUGUCAGCGACCCCUUCGCCGCCGGAGGAGAGACCCUGCAUCACUAGGGUCCGACUGCGUAUCACUGACUGGAAUGUCAUUGAGAGGGAGGAUGGAGAGAAGGAGCAAGUGAGUGAGAAAGAAAGAAAGGAAAAGCAUCUGGAUGGCACCAGAGUCUUGCCUUUCACAGCAUUUGUUUUCCUUCUUCCUGCUGUCGUCUUCCUCCCUGUUUGCAUCCCAUCAAACUGUCGUCCACAUGGCUAACCAAACACUGGAAUUGUAACAAAGGAUUGAAAGAUAGAUGCAAAUGAGGGGUGUUGUCCAGCAGCCAGGUCGAAUCCCUCUCAUCCAGAAACACACCACUCGACAGUCUGCUGCGGUCUUUGGUCCGGCAGCAACUUGGUGGAAAGAAAUGAGGCAUCAGGAGAGGGAACGUACGCAGCAGAGCAGGGAGGGCGGUCGACCACAGAGGGAGAGAGGAUGCACCGACGAGCAGAUCCAGGCCAGCCGCGACUUCCUUCACUUGGGAUUUCUACACUGGGAGGGAAUUCUCAACGAUGAUGGAUUUGAAAAUGGGCCGUCAGACCGUCACGACGACGGCUGCUCCCCUCGUCUGAAGUGCCGGGUCCUGUAGCUGGGUGGAGAAAGGUCUCCACGUUCCACACGGACGAUAUCGAUUCUGUGAUUGUUUCAGGAAGUCCAGUCUGAGCAACAGAUCCAGAUCCUCUCAAACUCCGUCAUAUCCAAUGGGAGGCGUCUGUGACCUGCCGUCAAUCUUCUGGUCGCUCCACCGAUGUUGUUUCAGUCUGGGCUUUGUCCUGCAGGCGACUCCACGUUGUCCCGGCUGUUUGCUUCGUCAUCGUCGUCCCAGUCUGAGGUCAAGUGAAGUGAAGGAUCUCUCCGGAUACGACAGGUCUCCCUGCCCCACCACCAUGCUUCACUAACCAGAUGCAGAUGGUCCAUCAGUGCCACCGCCCAUCAGAGCCGUGAUGAGGGGCCUGCUGAGGGCCUGUGGGCCCCUGAUGCCCUUCCCGUGUGUGUGUGUGUGUGUGUGUGUGUGUGUGUGUGUGUGUGUGUGUGUGUGUGUGUGUGUGUGUGUGUGUGUGUGUGUGUGUGUGUGUGUGUGUGUGUGUGUGUGUGUGUGUGAUGUCCGUGUGUCUACGUACCUUCUGUUCCUCCCCCUUAGCUCAUCUGGGACCAACCAAGACGGCCAACACAUCAAACAGCCGCGGCUUUGAUGUCAGUCACAGGAUGGAGAUAUGUGACAUAUAUAUGUAUAUGUAUAUGUUUGUAUAUGUUACGGGGGCUACACGGCACUGCAGCUCACCGCUGUGGGAUUCCGCUUCGACACAAUGGAUUUCUUGGGAGGCAGGAAAGAAGAAACGGGAGGAUGACACUUUGACGGACGGAUGCGGAGCGGUGUGUCUGUGAGGAUGGGGCCUUCCUGCGCCGUCUCACCAUGGUGAUGGCAUCCCAGAGGAAAGGCCCAUUCGACUAUACGUCUUCUCCCAUACAUCCACUCCCCGGAUCUCAGAUCUCAUCUCCACGUGUCUGAAUAGGUGCAAGCUCCCCUGAUUGAUCCUGAAGUUUGAAGUGAGGUCAAAAAGUUGCGGCACACCGACCGACGGCCUCGAACGUGACCGACGCUAAUGAAUCGACGCCUCCGUGACACCGUCUCAUCUGACACUGAACCAUAGCAGCGCCACAAAGAUGCUAUUUGCAGCAGAGCUGUUCUCGUCUCAGCAGACGACCUGCACACGCAGACGGUUGAAUGCAUUUCAGAGCAACUCCACUAUUAUUGGAGCAGCCUGCGGUCGAGCCAGUGGUUCCUCAACCUGGGCGGACCGAACCCGCCGUGACGUCCCCCAGAUGAAUGUGAGGACUUACAAGAGGAUCACCAGGAGACAGAAUACAUAGACGUGUCACGAAGUGUCUGCCACCACUUUCCAGGGCGAAAAAAAACCAGACAUUGUGCAGCGCAGAGGAAGAGUUAUGAUCAGCCGGGAGACGUGUUAAUGUUGCAUUCCCUACAAUUAUUGGAAUUAAUGUGCCAUGAAGUAGGUAAAUAGGUCAUUAACGAGGAUGCACGAGCCCAACGUGGAGACAGACAGACGAGCAAGACGUCGCUGCCGGUCGUCACUUCAUGAAGAAGUUCACUAUGAAGAUGAAUAUAGAGACUUAUAGCAGAGAGAGGAGAGGAUGAGGGAGACAGAGCUACUCCACUGCUGCGAUUAAUUAUCAUUAUUCAGACAUACAGUGUGUGUGUGUGUGUGUGUGUGUGUGUGUGUGUGUGUGUGUGUGUGUGUGUGUGUGUGUGUGUGUGUGUGUGUGUGUGUGUAGUGAUUUAUGAGUGCAGACCUCAAUGGUCUCUUGUUCCACCUCACCGGCGGCCUGUUAACCGGAGCUUCUCCACUCUGAACAGUUGUUGAACGUAACAGUUGUUGAACUGUUCGGACAAGAAGGCGGAAAAGAAUUGACUGUAAAUUAUGAAUCGAUAAUAGAGUCAAUGUAACCCUGUGAGCUUGUUGGGAUGAUAUAAUCAUACCCCCUCAUGUGUACGGAAGCAAAUCUGUCUCACCAU